rnacentral:lncRNA from 1 species
AAGGGUUCUUAUACAGGAGUGCCUGAUAACUACCUCAGAAGAUGCUGCCAGAGUCACAAGUUUGUUCUGAGUCAAUUUGAGACCUACAGAUUUUCCUAAUAUCCUACAUAGGUAAGCUCAAUUUGUUUCUCACAGAUAUGAUUCUCUAGCCCUGAUAUUUAUCCCUCGAAUUGGUCUAAAAGAUGUAAUGGGCCACAUAAAAGCCCUACAUAUUUUACCAAGACAGUCCUGAGUGACACAGCUAAAGGAAUCCUACUGACACAGGUAACAGUAAUAAGAAGCUGUUUUACAGAGUAAAUGGCAGUUCACAACUCAAGGAGACACCUUUGCCAUUAUAGAAACUAAAUGUUGUGGAUAUGUCUAACAAAUUUUACUAACGUUUCUAAAGCCUUAAAAUUACCUCCACUCACAAAUCAAUGGCAUGUCAGAUCAUACCUUCAGCUCUAAUAAGUUACUGUCUUUGAGGUCUGGCUAUAAUAAUGAUUUUGUUUUUGUGCUAAUUGUUUACAAAAACAUUCAGUUACCUGUGAACUACUACCAUAGACCUCUGGGCUGCCCUGAUGCAUGAGAUGCCCACAGAAUCCAUGAAGUUUCAGAUGGUCAUAAAAAUACAACCUGCCAUGGAAAUUCCAUCUGACUUCUACACGGGCUCAGUAGAUAAACCUCUGUAGAGGGAUUCUGACUGCUAUUCCCCUCUGUGCACCCUCCAGCCAGCUUAAAGAAGAUAGAGUGGUCAUCACCCACUAAUAGUAGUUAAGGUAGCUCAUCAGAGGUGGAAAUGAGGCAGGAGAAAGAAUUAAAAUGGAGGAGACUUGGGGGCUCCUUCAAGGUCAGACCUCUGUGUAGUGGUGCUGAGAAACUAUGGAUACAAGCCUGACUUCAUCAAGUUCAGGCCAACUCCUAUGUAAGCACAGAAAGAGUUAAAAAAAAAAAAAAAACUGAUAGUGAAACUGC